GAUGAACGCUGGCGGCGUGCCUAAUACAUGCAAGUCGAGCGGACGGACGAUAAGCUCGCUUCCCUGAUGUUAGCGGCGGACGGGCGAGUAACACGUGGAUAACCUACCUAUAAGACUGGGAUAACUACGGGAAACCGGAGCUACUACCGGAUAAUAUUUUGAACCGCAUGGAUCAAAAGUGAAUGACGGUCUUGCUGUCACUUAUAGAUGGAUCCGCGCUGCAUUAGCUAGUUGGUAAGGUAACGGCUUACCAAGGCAACGAUGCAUAGCUGACCUGAGAGGGUGAUCGGCCACACUGGAACUGAGACACGGUCCAGACUCCUACGGGAGGCAGCAGUAGGGAAUCUUCCGCAAUGGGCGAAAGCCUGACGGAGCAACGCCGCGUGAGUGAUGAAGGUCUUCGGAUCGUAAAGCUCUUUUAUUAGGGAAGAACAGAUGUGUAAGUAACUGUGCACAUCUUGACGGUACCUAAUCAGAAAGCCACGGCUAACUACGUG
rnacentral:rRNA from 1 species